AGGUCAUAUCACGUUGAAACAACCGGUUCUCAUUUGAUUACCGAAGUUAAGCAAAGUUGAGCCUGGUCACUAAUCAGAUGGGUUACCGCUGAGGAAUAAAAGCUAUUGU